rnacentral:rRNA from 1 species
AGUGAACGCUGGCGGCAGGCCUAACACAUGCAAGUCGAACGGCAGCACGGCAGUAGCAAUACUGUGGGUGGCGAGUGGCGGACGGGUGAGGAAUACAUCGGGAUCUACCCUGUUGUGGGGGAUAACGUAGGGAAACUUACGCUAAUACCGCAUAAGAACUGAGGUUGAAAGCGGCGGACCGCAAGGCGUCGCGCGAUUGGAUGAACCGAUGUCCGAUUAGCUAGUUGGCGGGGUAAAGGCCCACCAAGGCGACGAUCGGUAGCUGGUCUGAGAGGACGACCAGCCACACUGGAACUGAGACACGGUCCAGACUCCUACGGGAGGCAGCAGUGGGGAAUAUUGGACAAUGGGCGCAAGCCUGAUCCAGCCAUGCCGCGUGGGUGAAGAAGGCCUCGGUUGUAAGCCUUU